UACGUAGGGUGCGAGCGUUGUCCGGAAUUAUUGGGCGUAAAGGGCUCGUAGGCGGUUUGUCGCGUCGGGAGUGAAAUCCACUGGCUUAACUGGUGGCUUGCUUCGAUACGGGCAGACUGGAGGUAUGCAGGGGAGAACGGAAUUCCUGGUGUAGCGGUGAAAUGCGUAGAUAUCAUUUGGAACGCCAAUGGUGAAAACAGGUAGCUGGGAUUGUGCUGACACUGAGACACGAAAGCCAGGGGAGCGAACGGG
rnacentral:rRNA from 1 species